AUUGAACGCUGGCGGCAGGCUUAACACAUGCAAGUCGAGCGGGGGAAGGUAGCUUGCUACUGGACCUAGCGGCGGACGGGUGAGUAAUGCUUAGGAAUCUGCCUAUUAGUGGGGGACAACAUCUCGAAAGGGAUGCUAAUACCGCAUACGUCCUACGGGAGAAAGCAGGGGAUCUUCGGACCUUGCGCUAAUAGAUGAGCCUAAGUCGGAUUAGCUAGUUGGUGGGGUAAAGGCCUACCAAGGCGACGAUAUGUAGCGGGUCUGAGAGGAUGAGCCGCCACACUGGGACUGAGACACGGCCCAGACUCCUACGGGGGGCAGCAGUGGGGAAUAUUGGACAAUGGGGGGAACCCUGAUCCAGCCAUGCCGCGUGUGUGAAGAAGGCCUUAUGGUUGUAAAGCACUUUAAGCGAGGAGGAGGCUACUCUAGUUAAUACCUAGGGAUAGUGGACGUUACUCGCAGAAUAAGCACCGGCUAACUCUGUGCCAGCAGCCGCCGUAA
rnacentral:rRNA from 1 species